rnacentral:rRNA from 1 species
UACAGAGGGUGCGAGCGUUGUCCGGAAUCACUGGGCGUAAAGGGCGCGUAGGUGGCUUGAUAAGUAGGGGGUGAAAUCUCGCGGCUCAACUGCGAGGCUGCCUCCUAAACUGUCGGGCUUGAGCAGAGUAGAGGCAGGUGGAAUUCCCGGUGUAGCGGUGGAAUGCGUAGAGAUCGGGAAGAACAUCGGUGGCGAAGGCGGCCUGCUGGGCUCUUGCUGACACUGAGGCGCGACAGCGUGGGGAGCAAGCAGG